GGGGCUGUAGCUCAGCUGGCUAGAGCACCUGCUUUGCAAGCAGGGGGUCGUGGGUUCGAGUCCCAUCAGCUCCACCA
rnacentral:tRNA from 1 species